GAUGAACGCUAGCUACAGGCUUAACACAUGCAAGUCGCGGGGCAGCAUGGGGGUUGCUUGCAAUCCCCGAUGGCGACCGGCGCACGGGUGAGUAACGCGUAUCCAACCUGCCCUUCACCACGGGAUAACCCGGCGAAAGUCGGACUAAUACCGUAUGUUGUCCAUUGACGGCAUCCGAUUUGGACGAAAGGCUUGGCGGUGAGGGAUGGGGAUGCGUCCGAUUAGCCAGACGGCGGGGUAACGGCCCACCGUGGCUACGAUCGGUAGGGGUUCUGAGAGGAAGGUCCCCCACACUGGAACUGAGACACGGUCCAGACUCCUACGGGAGGCAGCAGUGAGGAAUAUUGGUCAAUGGGCGUAAGCCUGAACCAGCCAAGUAGCGUGCAGGAUGACGGCCCUAUGGGUUGUAAACUGCUUUUAUGCGGGGAUAAAGUGGCCCACGUGUGGGCUUUAGCAGGUACCGCAUGAAUAAGGACCGGCUAAUUCCGUG
rnacentral:rRNA from 1 species